ACGCACGCUGGCGGCGUGCUUAACACAUGCAAGUCGAACGGAAAGGCCCUGCUUUUGUGGGGUGCUCGAGUGGCGAACGGGUGAGUAGCACGUGAGUAACCUGCCCUUGACUUUGGGAUAACUUCAGGAAACUGGGGCUAAUACCGGAUAGGAGCUCCUGCUGCAUGGUGGGGGUUGGAAAGUUUCGGCGGUUGGGGAUGGACUCGCGGCUUAUCAGCUUGUUGGUGGGGUAGUGGCUUACCAAGGCUUUGACGGGUAGCCGGCCUGAGAGGGUGACCGGCCACAUUGGGACUGAGAUACGGCCCAGACUCCUACGGGAGGCAGCAGUGGGGAAUAUUGCACAAUGGGCGGAAGCCUGAUGCAGCAACGCCGCGUGCGGGAUGACGGCCUUCGGGUUGUAAACCGCUUUCGCCUGUGACGAAGCGUGAGUGACGGUAAUGGGUAAAGAAGCACCGGCUAACUACGUG
rnacentral:rRNA from 1 species